rnacentral:rRNA from 1 species
AGUGAACGCUGGCGGUAGGCCUAACACAUGCAAGUCGAACGGCAGCACAGUAAGAGCUUGCUCUUACGGGUGGCGAGUGGCGGACGGGUGAGGAAUACAUCGGAAUCUACUUUUUCGUGGGGGAUAACGUAGGGAAACUUACGCUAAUACCGCAUACGACCUACGGGUGAAAGCAGUGGAUCUUCGGACCUUGCGCGAUUGAAUUAGCCGAUGUCGGAUUAGCUAGUUGGCGGGGUAAAGGCCCACCAAGGCGACGAUCCGUAGCUGGUCUGAGAGGAUGAUCAGCGACACUGGAAGUGAGACACGGUCCAGACUCCUACGGGAGGAAGCAGUGGGGAAUAUUGGACAAUGGGCGCAAGCCUGAUCCAGCAAUACCGCGUGGGUGAAGAAGGCCUUCGGGUUGUAAAGCCCUUUUGUUGAGAAAGAAAAGAAGCAGGUUAAUACCCCGCUGUAAUGACGGUACCAAAAGAAUAAGCACCGGCUAACUUCGUG